GGUUUUAUAGUUUAUAUAAAAAUAUUAAAUUGCAAGUUUAAAGAAUAUUUAAGACUU
rnacentral:tRNA from 2 species